rnacentral:rRNA from 1 species
AUGAACGCUAGCUACAGGCUUAACACAUGCAAGUCGAGGGGCAGCAUGAACUUAGCUUGCUAAGUUUGAUGGCGACCGGCGCACGGGUGAGUAACACGUAUCCAACCUGCCGAUGACUCGGGGAUAGCCUUUCGAAAGAAAGAUUAAUACCCGAUGGCAUAGUUCUUCCGCAUGGUAGAACUAUUAAAGAAUUUCGGUCAUCGAUGGGGAUGCGUUCCAUUAGGUUGUUGGCGGGGUAACGGCCCACCAAGCCUUCGAUGGAUAGGGGUUCUGAGAGGAAGGUCCCCCACAUUGGAACUGAGACACGGUCCAAACUCCUACGGGAGGCAGCAGUGAGGAAUAUUGGUCAAUGGACGAGAGUCUGAACCAGCCAAGUAGCGUGAAGGAUGACUGCCCUAUGGGUUGUAAACUUCUUUUAUACGGGAAUAAAGUGAGGCACGUGUGCCUUUUUGUAUGUACCGUAUGAAUAAGGAUCGGCUAACUCCGUGCCAGCAGCCGCGGUAAUACGGAGGAUCCGAGCGUUAUCCGGAUUUAUUGGGUUUAAAGGGAGCGUAGGCGGACGCUUAAGUCAGUUGUGAAAGUUUGCGGCUCAACCGUAAAAUUGCAGUUGAUACUGGGUGUCUUGAGUACAGUAGAGGCAGGCGGAAUUCGUGGUGUAGCGGUGAAAUGCUUAGAUAUCACGAAGAACUCCGAUUGCGAAGGCAGCUUGCUGGACUGUAACUGACGCUGAUGCUCGAAAGUGUGGGUAUCAAACAGGAUUAGAUACCCUGGUAGUCCACACAGUAAACGAUGAAUACUCGCUGUUUGCGAUAUACAGUAAGCGGCCAAGCGAAAGCGUUAAGUAUUCCACCUGGGGAGUACGCCGGCAACGGUGAAACUCAAAGGAAUUGACGGGGGCCCGCACAAGCGGAGGAACAUGUGGUUUAAUUCGAUGAUACGCGAGGAACCUUACCCGGGCUUGAAUUGCAACUGAAUGAUGUGGAGACAUGUCAGCCGCAAGGCAGUUGUGAAGGUGCUGCAUGGUUGUCGUCAGCUCGUGCCGUGAGGUGUUGGGUUAAGUCCCGCAACGAGCGCAACCCCUAUCAUUAGUUGCCAACAGGUUAAGCUGGGAACUCUAAUGAAACUGCCGUCGUAAGACGCGAGGAAGGAGGGGAUGAUGUCAAGUCAUCAUGGCCUUUAUGCCCAGGGCUACACACGUGCUACAAUGGCGCAUACAAAGAGAAGCGACCUCGCGAGAGCAAGCGGACCUCAUAAAGUGCGUCGUAGUCCGGAUUGGAGUCUGCAACUCGACUCCAUGAAGUCGGAAUCGCUAGUAAUCGUGGAUCAGAAUGCCACGGUGAAUACGUUCCCGGGCCUUGUACACACCGCCCGUCACACCAUGGGAGUCGGUAACACCCAAAGCCGGUCGUCUAACCUUCGGGAGGACGCCGUCUAAGGUGGGAUUGAUGACUGGGGUG